rnacentral:rRNA from 1 species
CUUACUUCCUAUUCAGAUAUGUGUCACAACCCUUUUCCAUCCAGAUCUCAGAAGCUAAGCAGUGCUGGGGCUUGUUAGUACUUGGAUGGGAGACCACUGGGAAUACAAUGGAAAAAACG